GACGAACCGAGCGAACGUUGUUCGAAAUCACUGGGCUUAAAGGGCGCGUAGGCGGGUGCUCAAGUCCGGGGUGAAAUCCUCCAGCUCAACUGGAGAACUGCCUCGGAUACUGGGUGUCUCGAGGGUGGUAGGGGUAUGCGGAACUAUCGGUGGAGCGGUGAAAUGCGUUGAUAUCGAUAGGAACUCCGGUGGCGAAGGCGGCAUACUGGACCACAUCUGACGCUGAGGCGCGAAAGCCAGGGGAGCAAACGGG
rnacentral:rRNA from 1 species